UACGUAGGGGGCAAGCGUUAUCCGGAUUUACUGGGUGUAAAGGGAGCGUAGACGGCGAUGCAAGCCAGAUGUGAAAGCCCGGGGCUCAACCCCGGGACUGCAUUUGGAACUGUGUGGCUGGAGUGUCGGAGAGGCAGGCGGAAUUCCUGGUGUAGCGGUGAAAUGCGUAGAUAUUAGGAGGAACACCAGUGGCGAAGGCGGCCUGCUGGACGAUGACUGACGUUGAGGCUCGAAAGCGUGGGGAGCAAACAGG
rnacentral:rRNA from 1 species